UGCCAGCUGCUUUUCCCACGACUGCAUUCAGAGAGAGAAUUGGACUCCGUCCAAUUGAUAUUUAUACAUAUUUGUUUGCUUGUGAUGCUGUUGCUUCGGAUGGUUUUUGUCUUAGUGGCGGGUCCGUGUAUGCAGAUGAAUCGGGUCAGCUGACCCGAGCUUUCCUUUUCUUUUUAACCCUUUCUGAGAUGCUGGCGAUGGAGGGAUCUUGGUGAAAAAAAAUGUUUUAUAUAAAAAGGAUAUUGGGACGUUUGCAGGUCUCGAUCUUCCUCCGGGCAGCUAGGCAGGCUCAAGCAUACUAAGGAUGAGAAGUUUCAUAAUUCGUCGCUGCUCUGAUUCCGGCUGCUCCGGGACUGUUUAACCAACUACAGCGACAUCCACCAUGGACGGGAAAGAGGUUUAUCUGAUCUCCUCAUUAGAGCCUUUGACGUCCCCGUGAAAGACUUGCACUUCUCCCAGGAUCGGCCACCACUUUGUUGCCCAAUGGGGCUGACGGCACAACAUGGAGAAGGUCAGCCCAAAGCAGAGGACGACGAAAAGGCCGAGUCUCCCACGGUCAAGGAGAAGAUCUCGGAAGAGACUUUACAGCAAAACGGGCCACUGGAGUACUCUAGCUGGCAAGUAUUGUCGUCUCCCGGUUGUCUUUCAUUCUACACAUUGUUGUAGGUAGCGAUGAAAUGAAGUCCUUCCAUAGUGUGCCCCCAAUUCUUAUGGAAGAGUCAAACAGCACCAAAUUCCAUCAACAUGCAGCUCUGUAUCCACCAGGCAUUGAGUUUUCUGUGGGAUUAUCCCACAUCUGGGAGACCUCCAGAGAAGGAGAGUCCACCACCUUCUGAGGUCCUUCCAAAUGUUAAGGAGGCAUCUCUUUUCUUGUCAUUUGAAUCCGUUGGUUUGUGUUCUAAUCUGGUAGUUCCCAAACUUGGGUCCUUCUAGUGUUUUGGACUUCAUCUCCCAGAAUGACUAACAGUUGGCCAAGUUUUCUGGAGGUUCGGGAAGCUGAAGUCUUAAAUACUUGAAAGACCAACAUUUGGGGACCAUUGUUCUAAACUCUGGAGCAGCCAAGAGAUAGUCCAAAAAGUGGUUCAUAACCUUUUGGUACUAAUGUUGGAGAGUGGACCAUGGUCGAAGUGGUCCCUGGUCAAAGUGGUCACUGGUCGAAGUUGUCCCUGGUCAAGUGGUUCUUGGUCAAAGUGGUCCAUGAUCAAGUGGUCCAUGGUCAAAGUGGUCCCUGGUUAAGUUGUCCCUGGUCAAGUGGUUCUUGGUCAAAGUGGUCCAUGGUUAAGUUGUUCUUGGUCAAAGUGGUCCAUGGUCAAGUGGUCCCUGGUUAAGUUGUCCCUGGUCAAGUGGUUCUUGGUCAAAGUGGUCCAUGGUUAAGUUGUUCUUGGUCAAAGUGGUCCAUGGUCAAAGUGGUCCCUGGUUAAAUUGUCCCUGGUUAAGUGGUUCUUGGUCAAAAUGGUCCAUGGUCAAGUUGUCCCUGGUUAAGUGGUUCUUGGUCGAAAUGGUCCCUGGUCGAAGUGGUCCAUGGUCAAGUGGUCCCUUGUUAAAUUGUUCCUGAUCAAGUGGUCCCUGGUCAAUGAGGUCCCUGGUCAAAAUGUUCCCUGGUCAAGUGUUCCCUCCUCAAAGAGUUCCGUGGUCAAAGAGGUCCCUGGUCAAAAAAAGGUUGGAAACUGAAGUUCUAAAGCAUGAAUGAGCAACUGACCCCCCCCCCCAAACCUUGAGGAUCCACACACCUCUUUGUGCUCAUCCACCCAAUUUUUAUAUUGAAAAAUUGGCAGGGGUCUCUCUGUGUCUCCUGAAGUUGACCUGUUGUGGUGGGAGAUUCGAAGAUGUUCUUGGGUCACACUUUCCCCGCUCCUGCUCUAUAAAAACACAGGUAGAUAAUGGUUGGUUUCCUGUGCAGGAUAUCAACGCACAGAUAGUUAAAAUACUGAUAUAAGACUGGCCUAUUUUUGGAUGUUCUCAGCAGGUAAUAAUUGCCACAUGGAACUGACUCAAAAUAAGGCCAGCCUUGAAUCCUAAUCAGAGCCGGCCCUAGGUAUUUUUCAAGUGUAGGCGAACAGAAUUUUGGCGCCCCCCCAAACCAAUCACUGAAAAAUAAAAGCGUUGGAUAAGCGAAAAUGUUGGAUAAUAAGGAAGUAUAAAGGAAAAGCCUAUAAAACAUCAAAUUACAUUAUGAUUUUAAAAAUUAAGCACCAAAACAUCAUGUUUUACAACAAAUCAAUAGAAAAAGCAGUUCAAUACAUGGUAAUGUUAUGUAGGAAUUACUAUAUUUGCAAAUUUAACACUAAACAUUGAACAGGGAUAUAGGGCAGUGUGGACUUAGAUAACCCAGAUAGCCCUCAGUAUUAAAAAAAACUCUAAAAUCAGGACAAUAAAUAAAGAACAACACUCUGAAAACAGAAGAAAUCCAGACAGUAAACAAUCAGGGACAGCUAACUCCUCCCAAAAAAGAUUCUCCCAGGCAAGAAGAAGCCAGGCCUUGAAGCCACAGGGCCAUUAAAUGCUAAUCAAGGUGAUUAAUUACAACAUCCACACCUGCUUCAAAGAAAAGUUCUUUCUCCCACCCUGGACCUUCUACAGAUAUAUAAACCCCACAUACCUAGCUUCCAAGUUCCUACAGACCUCACAAUCUCUGAAGGCCCCAAAGGAGGGCUCCCGUGGUGCGAAGGUGGGUCUGCGCCGGCCGGAAGGCCCGAAAGAGAAGGAGGUGGAGAGUGGUGCCCUCCUCCCAGGACGAUGGUGCCCCCGGGACGAUGGCGCCACAGGCAAAUGCCUAUUUCGCCUUAUGGUUGGACCGCCUCUGAUCCUAAUGGCCGAGUCAGUGACUGUCAUAUUAUCCAUCAAUAGUGUCCCUUAGAAGGAUUCGUAGCAAUUUCCACUGCAUAUUGCCACCCUUUACUUCCAUAUUCAUCUACACAAUCUUGCAAUAGUUCUCUAGAUUUCAGCCCCAUCUGGGGACCGAAUCUGGGACAGGUAUGUGCACAGGUGUGCAACCGGAUACUUUCCUUGUGAUUUAUGUUCACUUUUAUGCAUCGUUUGAUUUAUGUAUUUAUUUUUAUCUUUGGCAUCGCUUUCCCCUAGGGUUGGAGUAAUUAAAUGCCUGGAAUGGUUAAAUGGGGAUUAAAGAUGCAAGUGAAUCAAAACAAAAAUGAAUAAUGGACCGAGUUUAGGAAUUUCGCAACGAGAUCCCGAGUGUAGGGUUGUUGUGCAUUUUCCGGGCUGUAUGGCCAUGUUCCAGAAGUACCGUAUAUACUCAAAGAUAAGCUUAGUUUUUCAGCCCUUAUUUAUAAGCUGAAAAAGCCUCCCUCGGCUUAAAAUUGGGUCAAGGUCAAGUCGGCAGCGG